UACGUAGGGGGCAAGCGUUGUCCGGAUUUAUUGGGCGUAAAGAGCGUGUAGGCGGUUUGGUAGGUCCGUUGUGAAAACUCGAGGCUCAACCUCGAGACGCCGAUGGAAACCAUCAGACUAGAGUCCGGAAGAGGAGAGUGGAAUUCCUGGUGUAGCGGUGAAAUGCGCAGAUAUCAGGAAGAACACCCGUGGCUAAGGCGGCUCUCUAGGACGGUACUGACGCUGAGGCGCGAAAGCGUGGGGAGCGAACAGG
rnacentral:rRNA from 1 species